rnacentral:rRNA from 1 species
GAUCAUGCUCAGGAUGAACGCUAGCUACAGGCUUAACACAUGCAAGUCGAGGGGCAGCGGGAUUGAAGCUUGCUUCAAUUGCCGGCGACCGGCGCACGGGUGAGUAACGCGUAUCCAACCUUCCGUACACUCAGGGAUAGCCUUUCGAAAGAAAGAUUAAUACCUGAUGGUAUGAUGAGAUUGCAUGAUAUCAUCAUUAAAGAUUUAUCGGUGUACGAUGGGGA